CAAGUUGACGGACCCUUCGGGGUUAGUGGCGGACGGGUGAGUAACACGUGGGAACGUGCCUUUAGGUUCGGAAUAGCUCCUGGAAACGGGUGGUAAUGCCGAAUGUGCCCUUCGGGGGAAAAAUUUAUCGCCUUUAGAGCGGCCCGCGUCUGAUUAGCUAGUUGGUGGGGUAAUGGCCCACCAAGGCUACGAUCAGUAGCUGGUCUGAGAGGAUGACCAGCCACAUUGGGACUGAGACACGGCCCAAACUCCUACGGGAGGCAGCAGUGGGGAAUCUUGCGCAAUGGGCGAAAGCCUGACGCAGCCAUGCCGCGUGUAUGAUGAAGGUCUUAGGAUUGUAAAAUACUUUCACCGGUAAAGAUAAUGACUGUAGCCGGAGAAAAAGCCCCGGCUAACUUCGUGCCAGCAGCCGCGGUAAUACGAAGGGGGCUAGCGUUGCUCGGAAUUACUGGGCGUAAAGGGAGCGUAGGCGGACAUUUAAGUCAGAGGUGAAAUCCCGAAGCUUAACUUCGAAACUGCCUUUGAUACUGGAUGUCUUGAGUGUGAGAGAGGUAUGUGGAACUCCGAGUGUAGAGGUGAAAUUCGUAGAUAUUCGGAAGAACACCAGUGGCGAAGGCGACAUACUGGCUCAUUACUGACGCUGAGGCUCGAAAGCGUGGGGAGCAAACAGGAUUAGAUACCCUGGUAGUCCACGCCGUAAACGAUGAUUGCUAGUUGUCGGAAAGCUUGCUUCUCGGUGACGCAGCUAACGCAUUAAGCAAUCCGCCUGGGGAGUACGGUCGCAAGAUUAAAACUCAAAGGAAUUGACGG
rnacentral:rRNA from 1 species